rnacentral:lncRNA from 1 species
UGAACGCUUCUUGUAAUUGCCUUGCAGGCUUCACACUUCAGAAUAGAAGCUAGAGGGGGAAUGGGUAACAAAUGGAAAAGGGUCAUGGGCCUUGUCUUUUGUUUUGAUAUAUUUUUAGUCUUCUCACACACUGAUAUGGAAGAUCUCCAAGCUACUAAAUCACGUGAUACAUUUUAAAUGUUGAUAAGAUUAGGACGUUUUGAUAUUGUAGUGAAGGCUGCUGAAGACUUGCUAAAAUAGCCAUGCCUUCAGUUAUGUUGACCUUUGAAGGGAUGCUGGGCCAUAUGGUAUGAAAAAAAAAAAAAAAGAAUAGGAUAGUCAGGCAUCCUGGCCACACAAUCAUCACAAGUUUUUGAUUUGGAAAUAUUUCCCAGUUUGGAAGUUAUGGCUUUCAGCUGUAACAAUAGCAGGCUGUUCCACAGUGGGAAACACAUGCAGUGUUCAAAAUAAAUAUGGUCAUAGCAGUCUUGUAGCAUUGAGGAAAUACAAAUGACCCUUUUCUCCUACCAAUAUUAAGAUGUUCUGAAGGUUUCAGGAAUGGUAAGUUAGGAAGACAGGGUUUGAAUUGGCAAAGAGUGCAAGGCUGUGAGGAUCAGGGAAAGAGUGGCUACAGAAGCAGUAGCAUUGUAUGUGUUAAAACCCUUUUCAUUUGUAGCCUUCACUCAAUGAUAAGAUGUAGCUUCUAACCAAGCACACCUGUCACUUUCCCAUGGUGGAGCAGAUUUUAUGCAUGGAAAUCUGUUCUGAGUGGAAGGGCGCAGCACCGCCUGUAGUUACUAAUGUCCCAUGCAGCAUCUCCAGGGCUGUGCAAUUUUCUCAUGGCCCUAAGAAGCUCAGGAUUAAAAGCACAGUUUGUCCAAAGGACUACAGAAGGUCAGCAGAUGAAUUUUAGGUGGCCUUUCACAUGCUCAUUUUUUUCUUUUUCAUGGAAAUAAUAACCAGUUCAGUCUUCCUGUUAGAAUCUCUUAGUCGUAUAUGACAUUUUUUUUCCUCAGAAAAAGUAAAUAAUUAUUCUCUUGCCAUUUUACAUUGUAAUUCUAUAUUAAUUUCCUUCUAACUGCAAAAUUGAUCAAGAGACAUAAUGAAUAUGAUUUACUGAACACAGAAGAUACUUCAGCUAACAUGCUGUGAUUAUCUGAUAUGAUGGAUGAUAAGGAUGUUAAAGUGAGAACUAAAUUAUAUUUUACAGACAAGUAAAUGUUGAAAACCAAGUGGGCAGUCUGACAAUAGAGAGUUGUCUCCACUCCUGAACUGCGCUGCAUCCUGAAACUUAUGAACCCUCCUGCACAUAAAUAAAAAUAAAACUCAUUAAAAAAAAAAGGAAGUGUGGCAGGUGGCACACAGAACACAACCAAUGAGGUAGAAAUGAAUGUAUUCCUUCCAAAAUGGCAAUUCUAUUGCAUUUUCUAAAUAGCCAACCAGUUUCAUCUUUAUGAUCAAAUUUAUAUUCUAAAGUCUUGGGAAGAUUGGCUAAGGGUCUUUAAAAGCCCUUAAAGGUUGUUUGUUUGUUUGUUUGUUUAGCUCUCUAAAAUAUUUUUAGAGUAAUUUGUCAGGUGGAACCUGUACCAUUCACAAGUGAAAUAGUCUCUACAUUCUGUAGGGCUGAGGAAGGGCAGCACAGCUUGCUUUCCUUCAGGCUUCAGAUCAAGGAAGAAUUCAGUAGACUUCUCAGAGAUCUUCCAUGGGAGGGCUAUGGGGGAAGAAGCAGGUGGAGACUCUGAAGAUCACAGAUUCUAACAGGUUCACUCCGGCCUGCAGAGAUCCUAUUGCAAGUGUUUGUGGUCUACUCAGCUUCUUACCUGCUGCCUCAUCUGUGUUCAAGCAAGAUCACCAGUUCCUUCCAGGCUUUGGGCUGUUUUUUGAAUUUGUUAAUAGGAAUAGGCAAAAUUGCCUACAAGUUUGCAUUUGCAAUCUUGGUUGAAUUACUGUGUCUAAAAUGGGAUAUUUGCAAAGACCACAAGACAGACACCAAACCUGUCAUUUAUUAGCAGUCAUGACUAUUAACGUUAUCUUUCAAGUGUAUCCAUGAUGUGGAGCCCUAGGGACAUUUUCCUGUGAUACAACAUCAGUCUUCUCUCUGAAAAUAUUAUUCAUAGACUUACAUUGGAGAUGGCAG